AUUGAACGCUGGCGGCAGGCUUAACACAUGCAAGUCGAGCGGGGUGAUGGUGCUUGCACUAUCACUUAGCGGCGGACGGGUGAGUAAUGCUUAGGAAUCUGCCUAUUAGUGGGGGACAACAUCUCGAAAGGGAUGCUAAUACCGCAUACGUCCUACGGGAGAAAGCAGGGGAUCACUUGUGACCUUGCGCUAAUAGAUGAGCCUAAGUCGGAUUAGCUAGUUGGUGGGGUAAAGGCCUACCAAGGCGACGAUCUGUAGCGGGUCUGAGAGGAUGAUCCGCAACACUGGGACUGGGACACGGCCCAGACUCCUACGGGAGGUAGCAGUGGGGAAUAUUGGACAAUGGGGGGAACCCUGAUCCAGCCAUGCCGCGUGUGUGAAGAAGGCCUUAUGGUUGUAAAGCACUUUAAGCGAGGAGGAGGCUCUUUUGGUUAAUACCCAAGAUGAGUGGACGUUACUCGCAGAAUAAGCACCGGCUAACUCUGUGCCAGCCGCCGCGGUAAUAC
rnacentral:rRNA from 1 species